rnacentral:tRNA from 1 species
GGAUGAGUUCCCGAGUGGCCAAAGGGAGCAGACUGUAAAUCUGCCGUCACAGACUUCGGUGGUUCGAAUCCACCCUCAUCCACCA